CAGAGAGCGGUCGGGAAGCCAACGCACUUUGCAAGAGCAGUCCGUAAGCCGACAUACGUUACAAUAGCAGUCAGGAGUGCCAACACACCUUGCAAGACCGGUCAGGCCUUUCCUAGGAAAGGCAGUCGGCCCCUCGAUGGUCCUAAACUUUCCAUAGUUUUGUGCAAAAAAGCUCAUGUCAUCUCAUUGGGGAAACGCUCAUGAAAUCGUGAAGCGCGAGGUCUUGCAACCAUCGCGGAGAAAUGGUCGCUCAAGUUACUUGUUCGAUUCGCAUGUCGGCGUUUAUUGCAUGUCCUCUGAGAAGGAACGCAG
rnacentral:lncRNA from 1 species